UACGGGGGGGGUAAGCGUUGUUCGGAAUUACUGGGCGUAAAGGGCUCGUAGGCGGCCAACUAAGUCAUACGUGAAAUCCCCCAGCUUAACUGGGGAACUGCGUGUGAUACUGGAUGGCUUGGAUUUGGGAGAGGGAUGCGGAAUUCCAGGUGUAGCGGUGAAAUGCGUAGAUAUCUGGAGGAACACCGGUGGCGAAGGCGGCAUCCUGGACCAAUAUUGACGCUGAGGAGCGAAAGCCAGGGGAGCAAACGGG
rnacentral:rRNA from 1 species